rnacentral:rRNA from 1 species
GACGAACGCUGGCGGCGUGCUUAACACAUGCAAGUCGAACGGAAAGGCCCUGCUUUUGUGGGGUGCUCGAGUGGCGAACGGGUGAGUAACACGUGAGUAACCUGCCCUUGACUUUGGGAUAACUUCAGGAAACUGGGGCUAAUACCGGAUAGGAGCUCCUGCUGCAUGGUGGGGGUUGGAAAGUUUCGGCGGUUGGGGAUGGACUCGCGGCUUAUCAGCUUGUUGGUGGGGUAGUGGCUUACCAAGGCUUUGACGGGUAGCCGGCCUGAGAGGGUGACCGGCCACAUUGGGACUGAGAUACGGCCCAGACUCCUACGGGAGGCAGCAGUGGGGAAUAUUGCACAAUGGGCGGAAGCCUGAUGCAGCAACGCCGCGUGCGGUAUGACGGCCUUCGGGUUGUAAACCGCUUUCGCCUGUGACGAAGCGUGAGUGACGGCAAUGGGUAAAGAAGCACCGGCUAACUACGUG